rnacentral:lncRNA from 1 species
UACCAAUACAUUCCAAAAUUGCCAGUUGCAGGCCAUAAAAUAUUUACAUUACAGAGUAAAUAAUGUAUGUUUAGUAAGAAAUGAUAAAAUAUUUACAGGUUUUCUAAAGAUACUGUAUGGGAUUUUUCCUCUGCCACAGUCAUUUUUCUUGAAGUAGGCAAAAUAGGCAACUUCAAGGGCUCUGAGAGUGAUGGGGAAUCAUCUACGAAGGAGAAGAAUGGUCCAAGGCAGUAUAUGGAAAAGUCUCCAUGAGGAAAAGAAAUGCCAGCUGAUCCCAGCUAUCAAGAUACAUAUUUCAUAUGGUUGAUGGUCUAGGGAGGCAUUAGCAAACAAUUUUGGUACCCUUACCAUUAAAUUGAAGGGUUGCUAGGCUCAGUUCACGUGAUGCAGUCAUUUGCCAAAGCUGUUCUGUGGGAGUGUUGUAAACCUCAGAGGAUGACUGUAUGACCUCCCAAGUUUCUAAAUAAAUGCCUUUUCAAAACCUCCCCUACACAUUCACUGACCCUGAACAUGAUACACAGAACAAAAUCACAGUGUCACUAAAUCAUCACUGCACCUGUUUGGGAAGGAGCCUGAAAAAGCUCUUAACAAAGGUUUUCAACAGAAUCUCCUGGGAGAGUCUUACAAACAGAGAUUCCCAGGUCCCCCAACCUCCUAAGAAAUUCUGAUAGGACUAAUCUAGUGCGGGCCUGGGCAAUCUAUUUUUGAAAAACUUUCCAAGUGGUGAUCAUCCAAGUUUGGGAACUGUUGUAGGUUUAACAAUGGUCUCCAAAGAUAUCUGUGUUCUAAUUCCUGGAAGCUGUGAAUGGCAAAAUACCUAACAUGGCAAAAGGGAGGUUGCAGAUGUGAUUACAUGAAGAAUCUUGGGAUGGAGGGGUUAUCCUGGAUUAUGUGGGUAGGCCCUAAAUGUAAUCAAAGUGUACAAGAGGGAGGCAGAGAAAGAUUUGACUGUGGAAGAAGAAGGUAAAGUGAUGAUAGAUGCAGGAUGCUAUGAAGUUGACUUUGAAGAGGGAGGAAGAGCCCAUGAGCCAACGGAUAUAGGUGGACUUGAAAGUAGGAAAAUGCAAGGAAAAGGAUUCACUUCCAGAGCCUCCAGAAGGAAGCAGCCCUGCUGAUACUUUGAAGUCAGCCCAGUGAAACUGAUUUUGAACUUCUGACCUUUAGAACUGUAAGAGAAUAAAUGUGUCUUGUUUUAAGCCCCUAAGUGUGUAGCAGUUUGUGACAGCAACAAUAGGAAUCUAAGACAAGAACCAUUGCCAAAACCAUGUCAAUUUUAAUAUCCCUUUAUUGCUAAACACAGUUCUUCAAGCCAGAACUUUAAGGCCCUAGAAUUUAACCUGUUCCCAACUAUGGAGGGACACAAAACCAGCAUUGCCUGCUGGAAAUUUUGCUGCCCCCUCUUGCCAUUUGUGUUGAGCACUUCCCCUCCGUGUUACACUCCCUUGGGAAUGCCCCACAGCUACCAGAAGAGGCAGGGCAGCAGUGUGGGACCAUGGCCAAUAACUGCAUCCCUCAAGUUUGAACAUCAAGCCACAGAAUUCAUCAUAUCCCUCCUUUGUGAUCAGCAUUCUGCUAGCCACUGUGGGGAAUUUGGAGAAUCAGAAGAGGCCAUUGCCCUCUCUCCUGCUGAGUACUGACAUUGCACAGUGAUUACAAACACUUAGAUUGCAUUUCCAGCAAUAUCAAAGCUGAGGCUUCCCUGGCUACAAAGGAUAUUGUCUCAUCUUGGGACAGGAUAAAUACAUCAUUGCAGUUUAAGGGAAGAAGAUGAUGUCAAAGCAUGGGCUUACCCGUGACACUCUGACCAAAAGACCUGGAAAUCAAAUCAUUUUCCUGUAGUUUUAGGUUCUCAAUAAGCUGAGGGAUAUACUCAUGGUGCCUGUAUUCCAAGGUGGGUGGGAUAUAUGAGUAGCGGGGGGUUGGGGGUUGGGAAUCUCUAUAUUUUAUCAGCAUUUGCUCCUAUCAGAACUCCUCAUGGUGAAAAAAAAGAAAAAAAAAAA